rnacentral:rRNA from 1 species
UAACUACGUGCCAGCAGCCGCGGUAAUACGUAGGGUCCGAGCGUUGUCCGGAAUUAUUGGGCGUAAAGAGCUCGUAGGCGGCGUGUCACGUCUGCUGUGAAAGACCGGGGCUUAACUCCGGUUCUGCAGUGGAUACGGGCAUGCUAGAGGUAGGUAGGGGAGACUGGAAUUCCUGGUGUAGCGGUGAAAUGCGCAGAUAUCAGGAGGAACACCGGUGGCGAAGGCGGGUCUCUGGGCCUUACCUGACGCUGAGGAGCGAAAGCAUGGGGAGCGAACAGGAUUAGAUACCCUGGUAGUCCAUGCCGUAAACGUUGGGCGCUAGGUGUGGGGACUUUCCACGGUUUCCGCGCCGUAUCUAACGCAUUAAGCGCCCCGCCUGGGGAGUACGGCUGCAAGGCUAAACUCAAAGGAAUUGACUGGGGCCGCACGAGCUGACGAGCAUGUGCUAACGUCGACGCAUCGCGAUACUUACAAGCUUGAACAUCACUCCGGUGACCUCUCGCCAAAAA